rnacentral:rRNA from 1 species
GAUGAACGCUGGCGGCGUGCCUAAUACAUGCAAGUCGAGCGAACAGAUGAGGAUCUUGCUCCUCUGACGUUAGCGGCGGACGGGUGAGUAACACGUGGAUAACCUACCUGUAAGACUGGGAUAACUACGGGAAAGCGGAGCUAAUACCGGAUAAUAUAUUGAACCGCAUGGUUCAAUAGUGAAAGACGGUUUUGCUGUCACUUAUAGAUGGAUCCGCGCCGCAUUAGCUAGUUGGUAAGGUAACGGCUUACCAAGGCAACGAUGCGUAGCCGAUCGGAGAGGGUGAUCGGCAACACUGGACCUGAGACACGGCCCAGACUCCUACGGGAGGCAGCAGUAGGGAAUCUUCCGCAAUGGGCGGAAGCCUGACGGAGCAAAGCCGAGUGAGUGAUGAAGGUCUUCGGAUCGUAAUACUCUGUUAUUAGGGAAGAACAAAUGUGUAAGUAACUAUGCACGUCUUGACGGUACCGAAUCAAAAAGCAACGGCUAACUACGUG